AGCGAACGCUGGCGGCAGGCUUAAUACAUGCAAGUCGAGCGCCUGUAGCAAUACAGGAGCGGCAGACGGGAGAGUAACACGUGGGAACGUGCCCUUUGGUUCGGAACAACACAGGGAAACUUGUGCUAAUACCGGAUAAGCCUUACGGGAAGAUUAUCGCCAAAGAUCGCCGCGUCUGAUUAGCUUGUUGGUGAGGUAAUGGCGUCACCAAGGCGACGAUCAGUAGCUGGUCUGAGAGGA
rnacentral:rRNA from 1 species